rnacentral:rRNA from 1 species
CCCGCUGAACUUAAGCAUAUCAAUAAGCGGAGGAAAAGAAACUAACAAGGAUUCCCCUAGUAACUGCGAGUGAAGCGGGAAAAGCUCAAAUUUAAAAUCUGAGGGUCUUACGGCCUUCCGAGUUGUAAUCUAGAGAAGUGCUAUCCGCGCUGGACCGUGUACAAGUCUCCUGGAAUGGAGCGUCACAGAGGGUGAGAAUCCCGUCUCUGACACGGACUACCAGGGCUUUGUGGUACGCUCUCAAAGAGUCGAGUUGUUUGGGAAUGCAGCUCAAAAUGGGUGGUAAAUUCCAUCUAAAGCUAAAUAUUGGCGAGAGACCGAUAGCGAACAAGUACCGUGAGGGAAAGAUGAAAAGCACUUUGAAAAGAGAGUUAAAAAGUACGUGAAAUUGUUGAAAGGGAAGCGCUCAUGACCAGACUUGGGCUUGGUUGAUCAUCCAGGGUUCUCCCUGGUGCACUCUUCCAGCCCAGGCCAGCAUCAGUUCGCUGUGGGGGAUAAAGGCUUCGGGAAUGUGGCUCCUCCGGGAGUGUUAUAGCCCGCUGCGUAAUACCCUGUGGUGGACUGAGGUUCGCGCAUCUGCAAGGAUGCUGGCGUAAUGGUCAUCAGCGACCCGUCUUGAAACACGG